rnacentral:lncRNA from 1 species
CCCUACCCGAAAGGGCAGAGAGUCUGUUUCCAAUCGACCCUCGGCGCAUAGGAUAAAAGGAAAAACAGCAGUAAAAUAAAAACAAAGACAAAAACAAUAACAAUAGAGCAUUAGUAACUCACGCAGAAAUAGCGUAAAUAAUUAUCUAAAUAUAAGAAACAUAAAUACAAUCGCAUGCAAUAAUAUCAUACAGUAACUACCAUAACUAACAACCAUAGGGAGGACAUAAGCUAAAACACAAAUCAUCUAUGGGUAACCCUGCUGACCCAC